GGAACCCGACUCAGGGCUGGAUCACACAGCCCAGUUGGUUGAUCAGGGAGUCUGAUCCCAGUCUCACUUGGAUCAGUCUGAUGCUCAACCAACUGAGCUCUCCAGACACCCUGGGAGAAGAGCAUCCUUAAGGCAAGUUGCCUGCCCCAUUCAACUACCCCUAGAAAUUCCAAACUCCUUUGAAAGGAGUAAGAAUUAAACUGUCUUUGAAAGGAGGAGUGCAGGAAGUGAAAACUGUAGAGAGCCCCAGAAUGGGGAAGUCAUUCUAGGCUGUGACAUCACAGGCAGAGCCCCUGGAGGGCCACGGAGAACAGCAACCUGGUUCUUACCUCUGAGAGAUAACCCCCAGCGGGGCUCUGCCUGCCUCCACCAUGGGCUCCGGCCUCCUCUGCUGCAUGGUCCUCUGUCUCCUGCGAGCAGCCCCCCUGGACACAGCAGUUUCCCAGACUCCCAAAUACCUCAUCGCACAGAUGGGGACAAAGAAGUUGCUAAAAUGUGAACAAAAGUUGGGCCAUGAUACUAUGUACUGGUAUCAGCAGGAUUCCAAGAAAUUGCUCAAGAUCAUGUUUAUCUACAACAAUAAGCAACUCAUUCACAAUGAAACUGUUCCAAGUCGUUUUGCACCUAUCCCUUCUGACAAAGCUCAUUUAAACCUUGAAGUCAGCUCGCUGGAGACAGGUGACUCUGCCAUGUACCUCUGUGCCAGCAGCUAACACAGCCUUGCAGAGUCACUGCCU